AAUAAAUCACCGACUCAGAGCAAAAUUCUCUUCUAUGCGUUGAGACGCAACACAACGGUCAUGAAGGGAUUGAACGGAGACGGAGACGGACGGCGGAGGGAGACGGGCGGCGGAGGAAUCGUGAAGGGAUUGAACCCUAACUUGUUCGGACAGACGGAGGAGGAUGGAGUCGAAGAUAGAUCGACGGAGACGGACGGCGGAGGGAGACGCACGGCGGAGGAAUCGUGAAGGGAUUGAACCCUAAGUUGUUCGGAGGAAAGAUCAUCUUUGAUCUUUCUUAUUCUGUGACUCUCUUUUGUUACUGUAUCUGAUUAUGAACCCUAACAUGUUGAUCACAAUUCAACGAGUCUGAACCCAAAACAUGAAUCGUGAACGAAUGGAGACUCUUGAGCGUGAUCUGUCAAGAAAAUUUCCGCGUCCUCAUUACUCUUUCUACCACAUAGACCAUAUCUUUUUGUUUUUCAGGGUUUGCGACAUUGAGUCUAGUCUACUUGCAACCAGACUCGGGCCUACCACAUAUCUCUGGCACAAGGUUUGAUUCGAUGUCAUAGUUUCUAUACCAAAUCAGAUAAGAUUCAGUUUUCUGCCCAAGAAUUUGAAACAAACUCCAUGGUUCUAAUGCUCUGUAAGUGACAUGUUGAUCUUACUUUAAUUCUUGUAUAUCUUUCUGGCCAUGUGUCUACUGAGGUGAAGUCAAAACUUGAGAAACAAAGGCUAUGUUACUGCCUCGCUGGUAUGGAUAUUGUUGGAAGUCAAAGAGUUCAAAAGAGUGUGAGUAUCUUGUAGGAUAAAUUGGAAAAUCUUGCUCAGUUGGAAGAAUCACUCAAGGUUUAUACCAAUUAUUCUCGGCUCCUUCGUAGUCGAUAGCCUUGCUUAUAUGAGAGAAUGCAACUUCUUGAGGUGUAUGAUGAUUAAGCUAUUAGCGGAAAGCUCUUGCCUCUGAUGAAUGAAAGAUUAACGUCUCUUCAUAUGACACUAAAAGAUUGUUGUGUCCACCAAAAGCCCUAAAUCUGACAAGCAAUAUGUUUGGGAAUCGGUAGCUGAUAGUAGCUCAUAUGUGAUCAAAGAAGAAACAGACCCUGAAAACAUUCUCUAUUCAAGUAUUCUUACAUUUGAUCUAUAUAGUUUAGUUGACUGCUUACUCCCGGG